UUACAUUUCUUCCCCAUCUUGUCCAAACAUGAAAUCCUUUGUGAUUUUUCAACACUUGAAUACGGUAAAAUCUAUCUGACUUUUUACCAGCAAAGUUAAGUAAACAAUCGAAAUCUUGAAAUAUUUCGCCUGACUGCAAUUUGCAAUGUUCAUCCAUAAAUUGUUACCAGAGAAGUACCAGGCGGGAAACGAAUUCUGAUAAUAAAUAUUAAUGCCCAGCAAAGUGC